CAAGGGCAACCGGCGAACGGGUGCGUAACACGUUAGCAAUCUGCCUUCGUGUGGGGGAUAGCCGGCCCAACGGCCGGGUAAUACCGCAUACGAUUCUUCGGGGGAGUCCCUGGGGACGGAAACCUCAAGCAAUUGGGGGCACGAAGAGGAGCUCGCGGCCUAUCAGCUAGUUGGCGGGGUAAUGGCCCACCAAGGCACCGACGGGUAGCUGGUCUGAGAGGAUGGCCAGCCACAUUGGGACUGAGAAACGGCCCAGACUCCUACGGGAGGCAGCAGUGGGGAAUAUUGCCCAAUGGCCGAAAGGCUGACGCAGCGACGCCGCGUGUGGGAGGACGCCCUUCGGGGUGUAAACCACUGUUGCCCGGGACGAAUAUCCUCUUUAGAGAGGAUUGGCAGCCGCGGUAAUACGGAGGGUGCGAGCGUUGUCCGGAAUCACUGGGCGUAAAGGGCGCGUAGGCGGCGCGACAAGUCAAUGGUGAAAGCCCGAGGCUCAACUUCGGGUCGGCCACUGAUACUGUUGGGCUUGAGCACUGUAGAGGCAGGUGGAAUUCCGGGUGUAGCGGUGGAAUGCGUAGAGAUCCGGAAGAACACCGGUGGCGAAGGCGGCCUGCUGGGCAGUAGCUGACGCUGAGGCGCGACAGCGUGGGGAGCAAACAGGAUUAGAUACCCUGGUAGUCCACGCCGUAAACGAUGGGCACUAGGUGCUUGGGGGAGCGACCCUCUGAGUGCCGGCGCUAACGCAUUAAGUGCCCCGCCUGGGGAGUACGGCCGCAAGGCUGAAACUCAAAGGAAUUGACGG
rnacentral:rRNA from 1 species